UACGUAGGGGGCAAGCGUUGUCCGGAAUUAUUGGGCGUAAAGAGCUUGUAGGCGGUCUGUCGCGUCUGCUGUGAAAAUCCGGGGCUCAACCCCGGACUUGCAGUGGGUACGGGCAGACUAGAGUGUGGUAGGGGAGACUGGAAUUCCUGGUGUAGCGGUGAAAUGCGCAGAUAUCAGGAGGAACACCGGUGGCGAAGGCGGUUCUCUGGGCAUGUCCUGACGCUGAGGAGCGAAAGCCAGGGGAGCGAACGGG
rnacentral:rRNA from 1 species